AAGAAAAUUUGAUGAAAGAUUAUAAAUAAAGAAAUAAUAAUAAUAUUAAUAAUAUUAAAUAUUAAUAUUAAUAUUAAUAUUAAUAAUAAUAUUAAUGAUAAAAGGAAAAGAAAAAAUAGAAAAGAUGCAGGAAGCUUGAAAUUUCGCUAUUUCUUCGUUCUUAUGGAACAGGAACGCAUGCAAUCUUCUAGCUCGUCGUGUCGGUCGACUCCUCUCUCUCUCUCUCUCUCUCUCUCUCUCUCUCUCUCUCUCUCUCUCUCUCUCUCACUCUCUCUCUCUCACUCAACAUCAGCGAAUCAGCCAAUCGGCGAUUCGCUGCGCCGUGCCGCCUUUCGAUUCCACGACGACAACGACGACGACGACGACGACGACGACGACGACGACGACGACGACGACGACACUACGACAACUACGUCGACGACGAUAUGACGAUGACUACGACUACGAUAGAGUCGAUCUUUUUCGCAUGUUCCGAAAAAAAUCUCAAAGCCCUCCUUUCUUCUCUCCUCUUCCCAUCAUUCUUUCCUUUUCUCCUAUUACUACUCUUCAUCGUCCUCUAGGAAAACGACGCUUUCAACGAUGAGUACGGCUGGUGCGCCGUAAGCCUGUAUUUUAAAUGCGACAUUUGCGAGUAUCAGAAAUUAUUGAUCUGCCAGAUAUACGCGUGCGUGUGUUCUCUCUCUCUCUCUCUCUCUCUCUCUCUCUCUCUCUCUCUCUCUCUCUCUCUCUCUCUCUCUCUCUCUCUCUCUCUCUCUGUGUGUGUGUGUGUGUCUCUCUCUCUCUCUGUCUUUCUCUUUCUUGGUGUCGACGGAACUCUACAGGCGUAAUUCUCGAGCGAUAACAUGACCCAGGUAUAUAAAAUGAUAUCAAACGAUUAUACCGAUUUAUUUCGAUGUAAAUUGUAAUAUUUGGAAAAAAAGAAGAGAAAAAAAAACCAAAAAAAGAAAGAAAAAGAAAAAUAAAAAAUAAAAAAGGAAGGAUAAAAGAGAGAGAGAAAGAAAAAAAAAAAAAGGAGAAGGAAAAAGGAAAAAAACAAAAGGUAAAUCUAUUUUAAGUUAUCGGCCAUUACAAAUGGAAAUUAUUAUCACUACGUGAUAAUAAAUUAAUCAUUGAUAUCGCUCUAUUCCGGAUAACGACGUUUAAUGUAUGUACAUAUUUUCUACAAUGUGUCUACUCUCUUACUAGUUGGUUAGAGUACACACGGAAGCAUUUCAAGACCCGGUGACCUCGUUUUCCUAACUACCGUCUUACAUUCGAGGAGCCAUUUCAAGUCGCAACAAAUUAUAUUAGCUGCGUCGAAAUCAUUAUACUUUAAGGAUACAGAUAUAGACAGUAGAGUGAUAAAGGAUUAAAGAAGAAAAAGGGGGGGGGGGAGGAGGAGGAAAAAAUG